AAAAAUUGCUAUCAUUUCUUGCCUGUAACCUGCGGUUUAUUCUGUGCAUAUUCGUGGUAGAUAUUUGUGGAAGAAGCCAUUCACAAGUAAAGAGAAGUGCCAGGGAAAGGAGCUUUCAGACCGGCUGCUGUGGGAGGUUGACUCAUUGGAGUGCAGGAGAAGCCGGAGACAGCCCUGAGACCAGAAGAGAUGAUGAACAGAGGUACAAGGUCAUGACAAAUGUAGUGUGGCUACACAGAAGUGGUGCAACUGGAGCUCCCUCAGGGCAUGAGAAGCGAGCAGAAGCAAGAGGAGCACAUAGUGACCUUCACCUUGUGUAAUGGAGGUACACAUGUCUGUUUGCCCUGCAGCAGUGAAGGCCACCCUUGAAUUACAGAUGGUAUGGAACAGAACUACUUAUUUUGAUCUAGUACUCUGUGAAAAAUUGGGAAUUACCAUUUCCUAGGCUCUAUCUCAUACCUUUUCUGACCAUGAAGGCUUCAGUCACAUUUUCCUCACUUCUCCCUUGAGAAUCCUCCUAACUUUUGUACCUCUUCACCAAUAACAUCUGUACACUGAGAAAACACAACUGCAAUUUUGACAGGGGUGUUCAGGAACUUUGAGAUUGGGAUUGGUUGCUUCCUCUUAUCCAGUUUAUCUCC
rnacentral:lncRNA from 1 species